rfam:Dipodomys ordii contig_5940, whole genome shotgun sequence.
GGGGAGGUAGCUCAGUGGUAGAGCACUUGCCUCGCAUGCAUGAGGACCUGGGUUCAAUUCCUCAGCACCA